AGGACGAACGCUGGCGGCGUGCCUAACACAUGCAAGUCGAGCGGAGACAGUGAGUAGCUUGCUAUGAGCUGUUUAGCGGCGGACGGGUGAGUAACGCGUGAGCAACCUUUCCCAGACAGGGGAAUAACACACCGAAAGGUGUACUAAUACCGCAUAAGACCACGGGAUCACAUGGUUCUGGGGUAAAAGAUUUAUCGGUUUGGGGUGGGCUCGCGUCCGAUUAGGUAGUUGGUGAGGUAACGGCCCACCAAGCCGACGAUCGGUAGCCGACCUGAGAGGGUGAUCGGCCACAUUGGGACUGAGACACGGCCCAAACUCCUACGGGAGGCAGCAGUGGGGAAUAUUGGGCAAUGGAGGAAACUCUGACCCAGCAACGCCGCGUGGAGGAAGAAGGUUUUCGGAUCGUAAACUCCUGUCCUUGGAGACGAGUAGAAGACGGUAUCCAAGGAGGAAGCCCCGGCUAACUACGUG
rnacentral:rRNA from 1 species